rnacentral:misc_RNA from 1 species
UGCUGCUCUUGCUCACGGCGG